GACGAACGCUGGCAGCGUGCCUAAUACAUGCAAGUAGAACGCUGAAGAGAGGAGCUUGCUCUUCUUGGAUGAGUUGCGAACGGGUGAGUAACGCGUAGGUAACCUGCCUUGUAGCGGGGGAUAACUAUUGGAAACGAUAGCUAAUACCGCAUAACAAUGGAUGACACAUGUCAUUUAUUUGAAAGGGGCAAUUGCUCCACUACAAGAUGGACCUGCGUUGUAUUAGCUAGUAGGUGAGGUAAUGGCUCACCUAGGCGACGAUACAUAGCCGACCUGAGAGGGCGAUCGGCCACACUGGGACUGAGACACGGCCCAGACUCCUACGGGAGGCAGCAGUAGGGAAUCUUCGGCAAUGGGGGCAACCCUGACCGAGCAACGCCGCGUGAGUGAAGAAGGUUUUCGGAUCGUAAAGCUCUGUUGUAAGUCAAGAACGGGUGUGAGAGUGGAAAGUUCACACUGUGACGGUAGCUUACCAGAAAGGGACGGCUAACUACGUGCCAGCAGCCGCGGUAAUACGUAGGUCCCGAGCGUUGUCCGGAUUUAUUGGGCGUAAAGCGAGCGCAAGCGGUUUGAUAAGUCUGAAGUUAAAGGCUGUGGCUCAACCAUAGUUCGCUUUGGAAACUGUCAAACUUGAGUGCAGAAGGGGAGAGUGGAAUUCCAUGUGUAGCGGUGAAAUGCGUAGAUAUAUGGAGGAACACCGGUGGCGAAGCGGCUCUCUGGUCUGUAACUGACGCUGAGGCUCGAAAGCGUGGGGAGCGAACAGGAUUAGAUACCCUGGUAGUCCACGCCGUAAACGAUGAGUGCUAGGUGUUGGAUCCUUUCCGGGAUUCAGUGCCGCAGCUAACGCAUUAAGCACUCCGCCUGGGGAGUACGACCGCAAGGUUGAAACUCAAAGGAAUUGACGGGGGCCCGCACAAGCGGUGGAGCAUGUGGUUUAAUUCGAAGCAACGCGAAGAACCUUACCAGGUCUUGACAUCCCGAUGCUAUUUCUAGAGAUAGAAAGUUACUUCGGUACAUCGGUGACAGGUGGUGCAUGGUUGUCGUCAGCUCGUGUCGUGAGAUGUUGGGUUAAGUCCCGCAACGAGCGCAACCCCUAUUGUUAGUUGCCAUCAUUCAGUUGGGCACUCUAGCGAGACUGCCGGUAAUAAACCGGAGGAAGGUGGGGAUGACGUCAAAUCAUCAUGCCCCUUAUGACCUGGGCUACACACGUGCUACAAUGGUUGGUACAACGAGUUGCGAGUCGGUGACGGCGAGCUAAUCUCUUAAAGCCAAUCUCAGUUCGGAUUGUAGGCUGCAACUCGCCUACAUGAAGUCGGAAUCGCUAGUAAUCGCGGAUCAGCACGCCGCGGUGAAUACGUUCCCGGGCCU
rnacentral:rRNA from 1 species